rnacentral:rRNA from 1 species
UACGGAGGGUGCAAGCGUUAUCCGGAUUCACUGGGUUUAAAGGGUGCGUAGGUGGCUUUGUAAGUCAGUGGUGAAAGCCUGGAGCUCAACUCCAGAACUGCCAUUGAUACUGCUUAGCUUGAAUCACGUCGAGGUGGAUGGAAUAUUACAUGUAGCGGUGAAAUGCUUAGAUAUGUAAUAGAACACCGAUUGCGAAGGCAGUUCACUAGGCGUGUAUUGACACUGAGGCACGAAAGCGUGGGGAUCAAACAGG